rnacentral:rRNA from 1 species
CAGUCGCCGCGGGAAUACGUAGGUGGCAAGCGUUGUCCGGAAUUAUUGGGCGUAAAGGGCUCGCAGGCGGUUUCUUAAGUCUGAUGUGAAAGCCCCCGGCUCAACCGGGGAGGGUCAUUGGAAACUGGGAAACUUGAGUGCAGAAGGGGAGAGUGGAAUUCCACGUGUAGCGGUGAAAUGCGUAGAGAUGUGGAGGAACACCAGUGGCGAAGGCGACUCUCUGGUCUGUAACUGACGCUGAGGAGCGAAAGCGUGGGGAGCGAACAGGAUUAGAUACCCCAGUAGUCCCUGUCUCUUAUAC